rnacentral:rRNA from 1 species
ACGCUCGACACCUACGGAGGCAGCAGUCGGGAAUAUUGCGCAAUGGAGGAAACUCUGACGCAGUGACGCCGCGUAUAGGAAGAAGGUUUUCGGAUUGUAAACUAUUGUCGUUAGGGAAGAAAAAAGACAGUACCUAAGGAGGAAGCUCCGGCUAACUACGUGUCAGCAGCCGCGGUAAUCUGAGGCGGGCUGGACAAGGC